AUUUCUCGUCGCACAUGAUGCAUGUGGCCCUCCCUCUCUUUGCGCUCGGCACCAAGCUCUAUUUCAUUUUCUAAGGUGAAUCAAUCAGCUAAUUUCAAUUAUUUGAUUUGUGUGUGAAAAGCUAUAAAGUAAUGGAAAUUUAAUGUUUCUCUUUCGAAGAUUUAGCAAACUCGUUACUAGUAAAAUCAUUUGAGUGUUUCUCUAUUUCGUUUUUCUCCAGUUUGUGUUAUUAGUGAAAUCAAUUGAGUGUUUCUCAUGCGUUGAUGUAGGAAGUUGAAAAUUUUUAUUCUUUCUCUGUUUACUACAUACGGGUAGAAACAUAAAGGAGACGUCUUUGUCCUUUUGUUUUGAGUCUUGAUUUCACUCUAGUGUAUCGUUUUUGAUUAAGAGUAUUUUAAUCUUGGGUAGGGGCAAUUAAGAUAAAAUCUUUGAAGUUAGUAGCAGCACCAGCUACAUAAGAGGAUGGGAGCAUCAGAGGCUCUAACUGAUACAUCGAGCCUAUACGAUGUGGGCAACGUUGAAUUUUCCGACACGUAUACGAUGCUUACCGUGACAAAUGCACUUGCAUCGGUCCAGAAUAGAGUGUUCGGUGACAAGGCUAAGGUUGAGCUAAAUAAAGAGGUUCGUUGCCAUGCUUCAUCUGUCUUCGGGGCGAGACAGUUGCGGCGGAGCAUGAGAAACGUUCCCGUAUCGCCAUGUAUCGGUGGAACAGAACAUCGUUGUUAUCAAGGCUAAUCAUGACUACAAAGGUGUUUGCCAUGUUGCGUUUGCACAAGAAGGUCAUUGCAGGCCAGGAGAGGUUUGGUUAAGAACAGACUCACACGCAUGUACUGCUGGAGCAUUUGGUCAGUUUGCUAAGGGAUUGGAAACACUGAUGCAGGCUUUGUGUUAGGCACUGGACAAAUCCUUCUCAAGGUUUGUUAAGAAAAGUUUAUUUUUUUUAAGAAACCCAAAUUAAGAAACUACCAUUGUAGCUCAAAAAUUAAGUUAAAAUUUAUUAGUUAAAUAAUUAUUAAAGUGUAUUUAAAAAACCUUAUAAGUUUUUAGGGAUAAUCAAAUUAAGUUCUUUAUUACCAAACGCAAGGAUAAACGUGGAUGACCGCAUCAAGACAUGUUACUAAUCCCGAAACCUUAAGCAAACUUCAAUAUUGUAUGUAAUAAAGAACACUACAAAUAAUACAAUAUAGAAUAAUAUAACUAUUAAUUUAUCUUUAAGAA